rnacentral:rRNA from 1 species
UGAAAAUGGAUGGCGCUUGAGCGAGGGACCUAUACCCAGCCGUUGCUGGCUUGUGCGUUGUCUAGCGCCUGGCCGCAACGAGUAGGAGGGUCGUGGCGGUUGCGUCGAAGGCUUUGGGCGUAGGCCCAGCUGGAGCUUCCGUCAGUGCAGAUCUCGGUGGUAGUAGCAAAUAUUUAAGUUCGAUCCUUGAAGACUGAAGUGGAGAAGGGUUCCACGUGAACAGUAGUUGAAUGUGGGUCAGUCGAUCCUAAGAUACUGGCUUAUGCCUUGUAUCAUUGAGAGGGAAAAGUUUCUUUUCUCUCGGAUAUCAAAAGGGAAUAGGGUUAAUAUUCCCUAACGCAGACACAGAGAUUGCGGCUCUUUGAGUCGCUUGCGCGGUAACGCAUUCGAACUUGGUUACGUCGCUCAGAGACCGAGCUAGAGUUCUCUUCUCUAGUUAAGGAACGGACUCCCUGGAAUCGGUUCAGCCGUAGAUAGGGACGUUGUUUCCGUAAAGCAUCGCGGUUUCUGUGAUGUCUCGUGUUCUCUGGACGGCCCUUGAAAAACCAAGGAAGGCUAUCAAUCUGUGCUGCAUCGUACCGAUAUCCGCAUCAG